CUAGUUGUGAGCGCAACUGGAGCACAUUUGAGUUUAUACACACCAAGAAGAGGAAUAGACUAGAACAUGAACGUUUGAAUGAUCUAGUCUAUGUUCAAUACAAUCGCCGCCUUCAAGAAAGGUUUCGACAAAGGCGUGAGGAGAAUAGAAAUUAUGAUCC